rnacentral:rRNA from 1 species
GACGAACGCUGGCGGCGUGCUUAACACAUGCAAGUCGAACGGAAAGGCCCUGCUUUUGUGGGGUGCUCGAGUGGCGAACGGGUGAGUAACACGUGAGUAACCUGCCCUUGACUUUGGGAUAACUUCAGGAAACUGGGGCUAAUACCGGAUAGGAGCUCCUGCUGCAUGGUGGGGGUUGGAAAGUUUCGGCGGUUGGGGAUGGACUCGCGGCUUAUCAGCUUGUUGGUGGGGUAGUGGCUUACCAAGGCUUUGACGGGUAGCCGGCCUGAGAGGGUGACCGGCCACAUUGGGACUGAGAUACGGCCCAGACUCCUACGGGAGGCAGCAGUGGGGAAUAUUGCACAAUGGGCGGAAGCCUGACGCAGCAACGCCGCGUGCGGGAUGAUGGCCUUCGGGUUGUAAACCGCUUUCGCCUGUGACGAAGCGUGAGUGACGGUAAUGGGUAAAGAAGCACCGGCUAACUACGUG